rnacentral:rRNA from 1 species
GCGGGGGUAAGACGGGGGGUGGGAGGGGUGUCCGGAAUCACUGGGCGUAAAGGGGGCGGAGGCGGCCGGGUAAGGUUGCGGUGAAAGCCCGGGGCUCAACCCCGGGUCGGCCGUGGCAACUGCUGGGCUGGAGCACAGGAGAGGCGGGUGGAAUUCCGGGUGUAGCGGUGGAAUGCGUAGAGAUCCGGAAGAACACCGGUGGCGAAGGCGGCCCGCUGGGCUGUGACUCUUCGGAGUCUUCAAGCUGACGCUGAGGCGCGACAGCGUGGGGAGCAAACAGGAUUAGAUACCCUAGUAGUC